UCCUAGUUAACCUAGGCAGUCUCAUUAGAGUUCCCACCAUUACGUGUUGGCAACUAAUGAUAAGGGUUGCGCUCGUUGCUGGACUUAACCAAACACCUCACGGCACGAGCUGACGACAGCCAUGCAGCACCUGUUCACAGGCCCCGAAGGGCGAUAACAUCUCUGCGAUCUUCCUGUGUAUGUCAAGCCUGGGUAAGGUUCUUCGCGUUGCAUCGAAUUAAACCACAUGCUCCACCGCUUGUGCGGGCCCCCGUCAAUUCCUUUGAGUUUCAACCUUGCGGUCGUACUCCCCAGGCGGGGUACUUCCUGCGUUAGCGCCGGCACCCAGAGGGUCGCUCCCCCAGGCACCUAGUACCCAUCGUUUACGGCGUGGACUAC
rnacentral:misc_RNA from 1 species